CGUGAUUCUAUCUCUUUUAUAAAUAUCGUAACAAAAUACAAUAAUUGAUAGCCUUACCCAGAAAAAGAUACGGAGUAUUGCAUUUUUUUAGAGAGAGAAAAAAUAUUUACUCGCAUAUAAAAAAUGUCGACGGAGCCGAUAUUUGGAGGUAUCAAGCAGAAAGAAGGAUCAGAGAACAGUUUGGAAAUCGAAACCCUUGCUAAUUUUGCUGUUGAUGAACACAACAAAAAAGAAAAUGCAUUGCUCGAAUUUCACAGGGUUGUAAACACUAAGGAACAGGUUGUUGCUGGCACUAUGUACUAUAUUACUCUCGAGGCAACUGAUGGUGACAAAAAGAAGGUUUAUGAAGCCAAAGUGUGGGUUAAGCCAUGGUUGAACUUCAAGGAAGUGCAGGAAUUUAAGUAUGUGGGCGACGCUGAUGCCCCAGCAGAGGGUUCCAGCAGCUAGGUUGCCUAGUUCUCCUCUUGCAGGGUCUCUGAUGAAUUUACUCUGUUGCUUUUGGGAAUAUUACGACUGCUAAAACCUGUUUGAGUGAAUGAUAUCUAUACAAUCACUCUAUCUAAAUAAUCUGUAACGCUGCACCCUUUAAUACAAUGAUGUUUCAUGGAUGGAAUAUUGUUCUGAACUCUGUUCCAUACGUCAAUCUAUAUUAUUAUUAUUAUGGUACCAAGUAUUUCUUCUUUGUUUCUCAGUAGCUUGCUUUCAAAAUCAUUAUAAGUUUCUGUAUGUUGUUAACAUUGUUCAAUUUCUGCAAUUCGUUUUACACUUCAAUCAGUUUGAAUUGUCAUUGAAAGAAGGUGAUUCCAUUAGUUUUCUCAUACUCCGUAUAAGUAAUCAGAGAUAUAUACAAUGCAUAACAUGAUAUAUAAUUAAUAAUAUUCCCAAAAGCAUGUUUACGCAACCUUUUUAUGAAUGCAUGUUUACGCAACCUUUUUACCCAUUUCCACUACUAUAAAUACAACAUUGCACCAAAGGUGUAUCUGCAUUGCAAAGCAUAAACUUCUAUCAAUUACAAGAUCAACUUAAGGCCAGCAACAAGUUAAGCAAGGUAACAAUGGCUUCGUCGCAAGUGCACCAAUUUUCUGACAAGGAGAAAGCAGCAAUCGAAGAGGCAAUGAAGGAGGCGCAGUCUUUCCAAGCUAACAACAUCAAGAAUGCAAAGGCGAGCCAAGAUAAGCUUGUCUUGGUUUCCGGUGCCAUGAAAAACCUACAAAGCCGCGCAUUAAGGCUUCACAAAUCCCACAGCUGGAAAGGAGUUUUCGUAGCCGGACCUUCUGAAACUAUGGCUACGGGGGUUGGUGCAUUCGUGCACGAGGGUACGCCUUGGCAAGGACAACUCCCUAUGGUUGUAGGCUCCAAGGGUGUAGUGAUAUAUGGUCACUAUGAUAAGGCUCUUCCUCAGCUUGGAUGGCUCUUGGCUUGGGACAAACCUACUCAUGUCGACAAUGGAAUUAGCAAGGUGUAUGUGGAAGCUGGACAUCUAACCAAGCUCAUGGAAAUGGAGCUGGCCGAAAUUGAAAAGAAACUUGAUGAAUCCCGCAGCAUAUCUCGCUACUGGGAUAGCGAAACCGGCGCUGCUGCAAGUGCUAAAAUUGAGAACGCUGCCGACAACAUGGCUUUGGUUGGUGCUACCUUUGAUCAGUUCUUCAAAGCCUCGCAGUCUUAAAUAAAAGGACCGCCAUUAUCUAUAUACAUAUAUGUAUCUCAUCUACGUACUUAAUUAACAACGUAACCAAAUUAAAGGGACUUAAUUAAAUAAUUAAACUGCAUAAUGUAUAAUGCAGGUAUUAUCUAUGCUAAGUAAUGCCCUCUUGGUUUUGUAAUGCUGAAAGAUGGAUGAUGCAUACAUCUAGUGCUUAUAUAAAUAAAGAAUGCUUGCUUUAUAUUA